GGGCCCAUAGCUUAGCCUGGCAGAGCGUCUCCAUGGCAUGGAGAAGGUCGGGAGUUCGAAUCUCCCUGGGUCCA
rnacentral:tRNA from 1 species